UAUGUUCCCAUUUCUACGCAUGCUCAGCUUAUUUACAGUCUGCGAUAUGAGACCAGACGUACUCGCACGUCGUUUCAACACGACAACGAAAAUAAUGAUUUCCGCAUAAGAUCGAAUCUUGUAGAUAAUUCACGGCCGAGGCAAAUUAGCUUCUUGAAUGUUAACAAUGUAGUCGCACUGGCAACAAUUACCAAGUAUUCGAAACGCGUUUCUUCUGAUACUUCACCGAUUCUGUUGCUCAGCCUUUUCAUUAACGAAUUCACGUUGUUUGUCGUAAAACUUACACUUUCAAUCGGAUCGUUUUGCAGCUUCGAGGAGAGAGUAUCGAAUGAAUUACUUGAUCGUUAGUGAUCUCAGAGUCUUUAAUCGAAUAGAACAACAAUGGAACCGACGAGAAUAGUCAAUGCUCGAUUGCAUAAUACCAAGCGCGAACGUGCAGAAUAUGCAAUGAAUUGCUCUAUAAGAUCGUGUAAAGAAGAUCGUCUAAAGACCGAUUCCAUACAAUUUAAGUGACCUUAAUGCCUCUAUUGAAUGUGCGCAUGAAAACAUUUGUAGUAGUAUUUGACAAUUUGCGUAAACUAUUUAUCGAAAAUAGUUUACACAAAUAUUUUCGAACGAGGCGUGAAUUGCUACACACUUCCAAGAAAUUUGAUGCUUCAAUUUAUUACAAAAUAUUCGAAGAACAGCGAGAUGUAAAUUGCGGUACAUUUUCGAAAAGGACACUGUCGACGAAUUUGACAUCGACCUCGACGUGUUGCAAUUGUUCGUGCAGAGAAAUCAACGAAAGAGCUCGUUCGUAAAGUGGUCAAACGGAGUACGAAGUUUCAGAGUAAUCGGAUAAAGGAAUUUACGGUGAAACAAGAUUAUCCAUCGUGGUAAUAAUUUGAAUGGAACAAUCAGAGAACAACACUUUAUACAAAGAAUUUCUUACCAGGAGUCCUAUGCACUUCGGCUCCGAACGUUGCAUGGUAAGUCACCGAUGCAACAAAUACGAUGAAUAAACUGUUCAUCUCGCGUGAGUAAGAGAUACUGCCAAUGAGUCGCUUAUGUCACAGAGACAUAUAUAGUUGGCGUAACUGCGGUGACAUCGUGAACUUUGGUAAUAAAAUAAAUCAAAUGUAUACUGGGAUAUUCCCUAAAGCUGUGCAUUUAUGAAGCAAUAUCUCCGUUAUAGUUAACGAUACA